GGCCCCUUAGCUCAGUGGUUAGAGCUGUCGACUCAUAAUCGAUAGGUCACUGGUUCAAAUCCAGUAGGGGUCACCA
rnacentral:tRNA from 10 species